ACGAGGAGGCCGUCGGAAAGUAAGGGCCGGCCUGUGUGCGAGCUGGUUUCCGGAAGUGGUGCUGUGGCAGCAUGCUCGAGGAGCUGGGUUUAAUCGGGACCAUAGGCGAAGAUGACGAGGUGCCAGGGGAUCCUGAGUCUGACUCCGGAGAGGAGGAAGAGGAGGGGCCCAUCGUGCUGGGCAGAAAGCAGAAAGCCUUGCAGAAGAACCGGAGCACUGAUUUCAACCCUGACUUCGUUUUCACUGAGAAGGAGGGGGCAUACGAUGGCAGCUGGGCCAUGGCCGAUGUCAUGAGCCAGCUCAAGAAGAAGAGGGCAGCCACUACAUUAGAUGAGAAGAUUGAGAAAGUUCGCAAGAAAAGGAAAGCAGAGGAUAAAGAAGCUAAGUCUGGGAAGUCAGAGAAGGAGAAAGAAGCAAAGGAGGGCUCUGAACCAGAGGAGCAGGAAGACCCUGAAGGGAAAGAUGAGGAAGGCCCGGAAGAUGAAGACUCAGAGACCGAUUACUCGUCAGCUGAUGAGAACAUCCUCACCAAAGCAGAUACACUCAAAGUAAAGGAGCAGAAGAAGAAGAAAAGACAAGAAACAGGAGGAUUUUUUGAAGAUGCAUCUCAGUAUGAUGAAAACCUCUCAUUCCAGGACAUGAACCUUUCCCGCCCUCUUCUGAAGGCCAUUACAGCCAUGGGCUUCAAGCAGCCCACCCCAAUCCAGAAGGCAUGCAUACCUGUGGGUCUGUUGGGGAAGGAUAUCUGUGCCUGUGCAGCCACUGGGACAGGUAAAACUGCUGCUUUCGCCCUGCCUGUCUUGGAGCGUCUGAUCUACAAACCCCGCCAGGCUCCUGUCACGCGCGUGCUCGUGCUGGUUCCCACCCGAGAACUGGGCAUCCAGGUGCACUCCGUCACCAAGCAGCUGGCUCAGUUCUGCAACAUCACCACCUGCCUGGCCGUGGGAGGCUUGGAUGUGAAGUCUCAGGAAGCAGCUCUGAGGGCAGCGCCCGACAUCCUCAUCGCCACCCCAGGCCGGCUCAUCGAUCAUCUCCACAACUGCCCUUCCUUCCACCUGAGCAGUAUUGAGGUGCUCAUCCUGGAUGAGGCUGACAGGAUGCUGGAUGAGUAUUUCGAGGAACAGAUGAAGGAAAUCAUCCGGAUGUGUUCCCACCAUCGCCAGACCAUGCUCUUCUCAGCCACCAUGACAGAUGAGGUAAAAGAUCUGGCUUCUGUUUCCUUGAAGAAUCCUGUCCGAAUAUUUGUAAACAGCAACACGGAUGUGGCCCCCUUCCUGCGGCAGGAGUUCAUCCGGAUCCGGCCGAAUCGGGAAGGGGACCGGGAAGCCAUCGUGGCAGCUCUGCUGACAAGAACCUUCACUGACCAUGUGAUGCUGUUCACCCAGACCAAGAAGCAGGCCCACCGCAUGCACAUCCUUCUGGGGCUCCUGGGGCUGCAGGUGGGCGAGCUCCACGGCAACCUAUCACAGACGCAGCGGCUGGAGGCGCUCCGGCGCUUUAAGGAUGAACAGAUCGACAUCCUUGUGGCCACAGAUGUGGCAGCCCGUGGACUUGACAUCGAGGGGGUUAAAACGGUAAUUAACUUCACAAUGCCCAACACCAUCAAGCAUUACGUCCACCGGGUGGGGCGAACAGCGCGGGCUGGCAGGGCUGGGCGCUCGGUGUCUCUGGUGGGAGAAGAGGAGCGGAAGAUGCUGAAGGAGAUCGUAAAAGCCGCCAAGGCCCCCGUGAAGGCCCGGAUACUUCCCCAAGAUGUCAUCCUCAAAUUCCGGGACAAGAUUGAGAAGAUGGAGAAGGACGUGUAUGCAGUUCUGCAGCUAGAGGCCGAGGAGAAGGAGCUGCAGCAUUCAGAAGCUCAGAUCAACACAGCAAAGCGGCUCCUGGAGAAGGGGAAGGAGGCACCGAACCACGAGCCUGAGAGAAGCUGGUUCCAGACCAAGGAAGAGAGGAAGAAGGAAAAAAAUAACGAAUGUCUCAAGUGGAUUAAUGGAGAAAUAGUGGAACAAGCAUGUUAGUGAGAUGGAGAGGUAACCACCAGCAGAGGAUUUGCCAAGGCUCUGCAGGAGUUUGACUUGGCCUUAAGGGGAAAGAAGAAGAGGAAAAAGUUUAUGAAGGAUGCCAAGAAAAAGGGAGAGAUGACAGCAGAGGAAAGGUCCCAGUUUGAAAUCCUGAAGGCACAGAUGUUUGCUGAGCGCCUGGCCAAGAGGAACCGCAGAGCCAAGAGGGCCCGAGCAAUGCCUGAGGAGGAGCCAGCAAGAGGCCCUGCCAAGAAACAAAAGCAGGUGAAGAAAUCUGUAUUUGAUGAAGAGCUUACCAACACAAGCAAGAAGGCCCUGAAACAGUAUCGAGCUGGCCCCUCCUUUGAAGAAAGGAAACAGUUGGGCCUGCCCCACCAGAGACGAGGAGGAAACUUUAAGUCUAAAUCCAGGUACAAGAGGAGGAAGUAGCCAAGUUGGCCUGAAGUUCAUGGGGCAGCCCUUAGAUCCCUUCCUUGCGGGAAGUCAUCCUGGCUUGGUCUCUUCUCUCCAUUUGUAAAAAAAAUUUUUUUAAAUGUCAAGUCUGUAUCAUUUGUACAUUAAAAAAAGAAUGUAAGGUCGGGGGGUGUUGGUAUGCGGAGUUACUUCCUAAGCAUCCCUGUGAGUCAGCCAAGGCUCUUCUUGUUGAUUAACUUUCAAAUAAAGAAGAUACCAAAUGGGGGGUGCCUGGCUGGCUCAGAGAAGUGUACGACUCUUGAUCUUGGGGUUGUGAGUUUGAGCCCCGUGUAGGGUGUAGAAAAAACCAACAACAAAUAGAAGUAUAUUUUGGGAGGGAGAAUAAACCAAUCUGAAUUGUA